rnacentral:lncRNA from 1 species
GGAAAUGAUUUCAGGCGAUUCUUGAUUCCUGUUCUCGGCCAGACACCGUUCUAGGCUUUUCAUGUUAUUGCUUUCAAAUUGCACAAAAAGCCCGGCACGGAUCUCAUUGUAAUCAUCUUUUUGUCCACAGGAAACUGAGGUUCAGGGAGGCUCAUUAAGCAACCCAGCGACGUGCUUUUUGGAGAGCGGGCAUUUAGGCAUCGCCUGUCUUUGUCUCCAUCCUCUUCUUCCAGCAGGGACCUCUGAUUUUUGCUCGGAGAUCCACUGUUUCCCCCCGCUCCUUGUUGCUGUUGUUCGUGGAACUAAAUCCAUCUGCAGCUUGUGUGUUUUUCGGGUCUCAGGCAAGGGCUCCUGGAGGCUGUUCAAUUUCUUGGCCAUCUUACCAUCCAGAAGGGCGAGCCUGCUGAGGAUGAAGCUGAUAGAAGCCGGAAGAAUCUAGCAGCUGGAUCUCCACCGUCAUCACUUCCCUUUAAGACAAGAGUUUCUCUCCGUUCUGUGUCUUCCGAUUUAUUCGAGUAUUACUUUCACUUUUCUUUUUUUUGUCUGCCCCGAGGCAUAUGGAGUUCCCGGGCCAGCAGUCCGAUCCAAGCCACGGUUCCCUGUAACCAUGGCAACGCCAGAUCCUUAACACACUGUGCAGGGCGGGGGAUCGAACUUGCGUCUCACACUCCAGAGGCAUUGCCGAUCCCGCUAUACCACAGCUGGAGCGCCUCCUUCCACCUUAGUGAAUGUGACAAACCAGAGCAAAGGCAACCACGUAAUCCUCUCGUCUGGCUCUCACCUUUGGAUGAACAUGCACUUGACUCUGAAGAUGUGACUUCUCUUCCUCCCAUGACCUUUUGCACCUAGUUGUAGGCUGUCCCACAGGUGCAGUCUUAGACUGCAGAAAGCUGCUUUCUGUCAAGAGCGUGGUUCUUGAAAUGGCUCACACUCCCUUUGCUGUUGUAUAUCUGAAUUUACCACUGAAAAGCUUUGAUCUCUGCCUUGAAGAAGGAGUUUUUAGCAUCUCUCUGUAGCCUUUAUCUAUCACAUUGAACCUUGGUUUUAUUUUUAUUUUUCUCUGUUUUUUUCUUUUUUUGUUGUUUAUUUGUUUGUUUUGCUUUUUUUUUUUAGGGCCACAGCUUUGGCAUCUGGAAGUUCCCAGGCUAGGGGUCGAAUCAGAGCUGCAGCUGCCUGCCUACACCACAGCCAUAGCAAUGCAGGACCCAAGCCUCGCCUGCAACCUAUACCACAGCUCAUGGCAAUGCUGGAUCCUUCACCCACUGAGCAAGGCCAGGGAUCGAACCCGCAUCCUCAUGGACACUAGUCGGAUUCGUUUCCUCUGAGCCACAACAGGAACUCCUGGGCCUUGGUUUUCUGCUUGGCUUUUCUCCCUGACUGCACCCCGAGUGUCUCCAGGUCAGAGCCAAUGUUAGUUUUAGAGAUGCUGCAGAGGGCUGAGCAGCGGGCUUAGUCACUCGGGAUUUUGAGGCAAGGGACCUGGAUCUCUGUCCCAGGUCUCUUGCUUUUGCGCUGUCUGGCCUUGGGCAAAUCCCUCUCUUGGGAACUCCUCAUUCCCAGCUGUAAAACGAGGCACUCCAGGAGAAUGCAAGAGCCGUCACCGUGGUUCACGUUUCCUCACUCCUACCCUUCGACAGGAGACUUCAAAACUUCUUCCUUCAAAGCUGGUCUGUUUCUCCGCCCCUUGAGUGGGGACAGCUCUUUUGAUCUGCUUUUGUGCGUAGAGGACAGAGAAAGGGCCAGGGUGUCCAUUUGGAGCUCAAAGUUCUAGAAGACUUACUCACCUCUGCUAGCUCUUGGGGGCCCUGCCUCGGCUCUGAAAUCAGCCCACCAGAGGGCGAGAGCCCACGUGGAGCAGCCGUGACUUAUCUUAGGAGAAGUUUCCCGAGACCAGCCAGGUCCCAGCAGACUCUGCAGACUUUGCAGAGCCUGGCAGAGAAGCCACUAGGCUGAGCUCCAUCCCAACAAAUAGCUGUGCUUUGAACCACUAAGUGUGGAGCUGGUUGGCAAUGCAGCCCAAGUGCAUCGCUCACGUCUCAGACGAUCGGGAGGAACAAAUGAGCUUGUGCACGUGAGGGUUUAGCAACUGGAGCAGCAUCCUUGCAUCCUGCCCUUCUCGUUCUCAGGUCCCCUCCUUACACCAGGGGACUCAUACCUCCCCUGGGAACCCAGGACAGAGGCAGAUGAGGCCACAUCAGCUCCUCCCUCUGAUGCCUGGGGCUGCUCCUGUCUUUUAGGGAAUUUCAGACCUUUUGUCAACUCCAGACUCUAGUAAUUGCUCAGUCCUUAAUAGCUACUUUGUUGGACUGAUUGAUUUCUCCCAAAUCCCUGCCUAUUUUUCUUUCUUUCUUUCUUCUUCUUCUUCUUCUUCUUCUUUUUUUUUUUUUUUGCUUUUUGGGGCCGCAUCUGUGGCAUAUGGAAGUUCCCAGGCUAGGGGUCCAGGUGGCAGCUGCCAGCCUACACCACAGCCACAGCAAUGCCAGAUCCAAGCCGUAUCUGCUACCUAUGCCGCAGCUCACAGCAACACCAGACCGUGAACCCACUGAGCGAGGCCAGGUAUCGAACCUGCAUCCUCACGGAUACAAUGUCAAAUUCUUAACCCAGGACAGGAAUUCCUAAAUAAGCUUUCUGGAAUGAAAAUGAAAAUCUUUUCUUCCAGUCUCCAAAAAAAUGUGAUUGGUGCCUUGUGAUCUUCCCGGGGCAAAUUGGGGAAGAGCCUGAAGAGGAUCCAGAACGCCUUUGAGGACCCAUUUGAACAGAGGUUCACAAAGGAACAUUUUGACGGAUGGACAGUAGCAGCCAUGAGACUUGAAAUGUGAUCACUGGCACUUACUUCCUUGAGGUUCCUGCCACCAACAUCUGAAGAGUCCUGGGUGAUGGUCCAGGACAGGCCAGGUGGAGCUAAGAGGAGCCAUUGCAGCCUUACCCUGCCAUGAGAGAGUCCAGCCAAGACCAGAAAACCCACCCAGGUACCAUAGCCCAAAUUGCUGACCCACAGAAUAAUGAAUGAAAUAAACGGUUGUUGAUU